UUCGGGCUAUCCCCUCUGGGUACCAAAACAGUUGAUUAAUGUCAUCGUAACCUAUUAUUUGAGCGUGGUCCCUUUCUCUACGAACUAAUUUUCCAUCAAGAAGCUCAAAUUGCUGAUCGCGAAUGAAUUCGUACAAUGGUGUAAUUACAUUGUCUAGAUAAAAGCAAUCGUCUUCAAUGGGUUCACUUUUCGCAUAAUCCUCCGAUUGCAUAAAGUCAUUUGCAAGCUUGAAUAUGAAACAAAGGCAUUCGGGACAAAAUCUAAUGUUGUUGGCUUCACCCCAGCACAAAAGGUAAAGUGCAAGCUGACGAACCUGAGUUUCGCAAUCCAGAUUUUUCAUUUCGUUUUCCCAAUUCUCCAUUGAAACAUUCAAUGGAUCGAUUUGCACGGAAGUUUCCGGUUCAUUUGUUCCUUCUGUCUCGGCCUUGUUGGACUUUCGUUUUUGCUUUUUCUUUGCUUGUUUGAUUUUUGGCCCAUUACUUGAAAACUUGCAAUUUUGCAAGCCGACAGAAUCAUCAAUAUCCAUACUUGAUGAGAAAUACCAUUUUCUAUAAUUGGCAUUCCUACCUCCAAUGUAAUCAGCAUGCAGAGAUUUUAAAGCAUUCUCAGCAUCCAUACGUGAAGAUCUCGAGUCCAAUAAAACCAUAAAAAAGUCGUACAUAUUGAGCAUUGAAUCAUACUGGAAACCAAAUUUUGCCUGAAGCUCUUGAAAAAUCUCAAGUAUAUUUUCGGCGGUAAUGGGGAUCGAGUUUUCAGCAAUCCAUGCAGGGUACGGAUUUUUUGCAUUCAGAUACGAAAACUUUGAAGAGCCUAUAUCUAAAUUAAAUUCCCCGGUUUCGUUGAAAUUUGAAUACAUCUGAUCGUCUUCUGUCAUUCCUCCAGCAUAUGCACCCAAGUCUUCCUCGCUGUAAGGAACACCUUCUGAAUAAUAUUCGUUACUCCUUUCCAAGUUCCCUUGAAGUAUAUUCAUAGCAUUAAUUGCUUCUUCUUGGCCGGAAUAGUCGUAAUCAUAUGCCUCACUUGGAUACGUUUCUCCGUUCAUUGAGAAAUUUUGUUCAUCAGGAUAUCGGGGCUGUACGGGUACUGGUUGGGGAAUCUGUUGAUUGGCUUCUCUUUGUCCUGACCAGCUGUAAUCAUAAUAUUCUGCAAUGUCCUUGGUUUUAUUUGAGUCGUUCCAUGAAUUGGCUUGUGGAUAUGUACUCUCUUCUCCUGGAUUAUUGAAUUCCGUGACAUCCAUUGAGUCCUCAAAUUCAUCCGAAUUUAUUUUAGAGUUUUCAGAUGAAGUACCAAAGCCGUAAUCUUGUUCAUGCCAUGACAUUGUUCAGGUGUUUGUUUUCUAUCUUCCUCUGUUAGCUUCUUAUUUUUGCAUUAAAUAAUCAAAUUUAUCUUCUUUUGAUUCAAAGUUAAAUGUUUUGACUAUGAAGCGCAUACCUUGAUGUUUAAGAAAAAAUAAAUAGCCUAUCAAUAUAUAUGGCAAAGUCCGCAGGACUAGCCUAGUCAAAAUCAAGA